rnacentral:rRNA from 1 species
CCAAUAGCGUAUCUUAAAGUUGUUGCAGUUAAAAAGCUCGUAGUUGAAUUUCGGGAUCAAUUUGUUGGUCGUGCCUUGGUACGUACUGGCAUUAUUGGUUCUUACCUUCUGACGAACUUCGAUGUCAUUAAUUUGGUGUCUUGGGGAAUCAGGACUGUUACUUUGAAAAAAUUAGAGUGUUUAAAGCAGGCUCGCGCUUGAAUACAUUAGCAUGGAAUAAUGAAAUAGGACGUUUGAUUCUAUUUUGUUGGUUUCUAGGAUCGACGUAAUGAUUAAUAGGGAUAGUUGGGGUCAUUAGUAUUCAAUUGUCAGAGGUGAAAUUCUUGGAUUUAUUGAAGACUAACUACUGCGAAAGCAUUUGCCAAGGAUGUUUUCAUUAAUCAAGAACGAAAGUUAGGGGAUCGAAGACGAUCAGAUACCGUCGUAGUCUUAACCAUAAACUAUGCCGACUAGGGAUCGGAUGAUGUUAAUUUUUUAAUGACUCAUUCGGCGCCUUACG